AAAAAGAAACAUUCUGCUUGGUCAGGUCCACCAACAGCAUCCAAGUUCAACAGAUUCAACAGAUUCCAACCGACUACCAGCAGUCAGUCAAAGUCUCAAGAUCCUGUUGGUCACUCGGACCUACUUCAAUUCUUAAGUUCACUCGGACGUACUACUCAGCGGAAUCGAUCAGGGCGAAUGAUGAAGACUUCAAUCAACGCAUUAUUUUGCAAGGCUCUGAAGCACGUUCAAGUUCGGUCUGCUGCUACAAGAUUUACAUCGACACCUUCAC
rnacentral:lncRNA from 1 species